rnacentral:rRNA from 1 species
UACGAAGGGGGCUAGCGUUGCUCGGAAUGACUGGGCGUAAAGGGCGCGUAGGCGGCACACAUAGUCAGGCGUGAAAUUCCUGGGCUUAACCCGGGAAUGGCGUUGAAAACUGCUUGAACUGGAGGAUUGGAGGGGGGACUGGAAUUCUUGGUGUAGCAGUGAAAUGCGUAGAUAUCAGGAGGAACACCGGUGGCGAAGGCGGUUCUCUGGGCAUGUCCUGACGCUGAGGAGCGAAAGUGUGGGGAGCGAACAGG